AGAGUUUGAUCAUGGCUCAGGACAAACGCUGGCGGCGUGCCUAACGCAUGCAAGUCGAACGCGAGUCUGGCUUCGGCCAGGGCUCGAGUGGCGGACGGGUGAGUAACACGUGAAUAACCUGCCCAGGUGUGGGGGAUAGCCUUCAGAAAUGAGGGAUAAUACCGCAUACGGCGGGAUGGAGGCGAGAGUCUCUGUCUCGGGGAAGCUGUGGGGUCGCAGGACCUGAUGGCGCACCUGGAGGGGUUCGCGGCCGAUUAGCUAGUUGGUGGGGUAAGAGCCUACCAAGGCGACGAUCGGUAGCUGGUCUGAGAGGAUGGUCAGCCACACUGGGAUUGAGAACGGCCCAGACUCCUACGGGGGGCAGCAGUGAGGGAUCUUCGGCAAUGGGGGCAACCCUGACCGAGCAACGCCGCGUGUGGGACGACGCCCCUCGGGGUGUAAACCACUUUUCUCGGGGGCGAGACCGGACGGUACCCGAGGAAGAAGCCCCGGCUAACUACGUGCCAGCCGCCGCGGUAAUACC
rnacentral:rRNA from 1 species